rnacentral:rRNA from 1 species
ACUCAAAUGAAUUGACGGGGGCCCGCACAAGCGGAGGAACAUGUGGUUUAAUUCGAUGAUACGCGAGGAACCUUACCCGGGCUUGAAAUGCAUCUGAUCGGAGGGGAAACCCUUUUUCUAGCAAUAGCAGAUGUGUAGGUGCUGCAUGGUUGUCGUCAGCUCGUGCCGUGAGGUGUCGGCUUAAGUGCCAUAACGAGCGCAACCCACAUCAUUAGUUACUAACAGGUCGAGCUGAGGACUCUAAUGAGACUGCCAGCGUAAGCUGUGAGGAAGGUGUGGAUGACGUCAAAUCAGCACGGCCCUUACGUCCGGGGCGACACACGUGUUACAAUGGGAGGUACAAAGAGCAGCUACCGGGCGACCGGAUGCCAAUCCCCAAAGCCUCUCCCAGUUCGGAUUGGAGUCUGCAACUCGACUCCAUGAAGCUGGAUUCGCUAGUAAUCGCAUAUCAGCCAUGAUGCGGUGAAUACGUUCCCGGGCCUUGUACACACCGCCCGU